GCAGCUCUGCCACCGCGGCCCGCAUGGCGUCGUUGCGGCACAGGGCUUCGGCACGUGGGGUCUCUAAAACAACCAGGAUGUUGGCUUAGAAGCAGCCACCAUUUAAAGAGUGCGUAAUAGCUCACUGGUCGAGAGACCCUGCGCCGAAGAUUACCGGGGCUAAAGUACGAAACCGAAGCUGUGGCUACGACAUAUGUCGUGGGGUAGGGGAGCGUUCUGUGAGGGCUGAAGUCGUUCUGUAAGGAACGGUGGACUUCACAGAAGUGAGAAUGUUGGUAUGAGUAGCGAAAAGAAUGGUGAGAAUCCAUUCCACCGAAAGCAUAAGGAUUCCUGGGCAACGAUCGUCGUCCCAGGGUAAGUCGGGACCUAAUCCGAGGCAUGGAGCGUAGGAGAUGGACAACUGGCAGAUAUUCCAGUACCGGUAAUGAUUGUUUGAGCGAUGGAGUGACACAGGAGGGCAGGCAGGCAGGAGAUUGGUUGUUCCUGUACAAGCGUGUAGGAUGGGACGCAGGCAAAUCCGCGUCCUGUGAGUCUGAGGCGUGAUGUGGAGGUUCCGGAAACGGAACUGAAGCUGCUGACCCCACACUGUCGAGAAAAGCUUCUAGUUAGAGAAUUACCGCCCGUACCGUAAACCGACACAGGUAUGCGGGGAGAGAAUCCUAAGGUGCGCGGGAGAACCCUCGUUAAGGAACUCGGCAAAAUGUACCCGUAACUUCGGGAUAAGGGUAGCCGCUGUUGUGAAGUCUGAACAGACGGAGCAUGAGGCGGUCGCAGAGAAGAGGCCCAAGCGACUGUUUACCACAAACACAGGUGCCUGCUAAAGAGAAAUCUGACGUAUAGGUGCUGACACCUGCCCAGUGCCGGAAGGUUAAGGAAGGAUGUCCGGAGCAAUCCAAAGCAUUCGACCGAAGCCCCGGUGAACGGCGGCCGUAACUAUAACGGUCCUAAGGUAGCGAAAUUCCUUGUCGGGUAAGUUCCGACCCGCACGAAAGGUGUAACGAUUUGGGCACUGUCUCAACGAGGGACCCGGUGAAAUUGAAGUACCUGUGAAGAUGCAGGUUACCCGCGACUGGACAGAAAGACCCCAUGGAGCUUUACUGUAACCUGACAUUGGGUUCUGAUACAUCACGUACAGGAUAGGUGGGAGGCAUGGAAGCGAGGACGCUAGUCUUCGUGGAGCCGCCGUUGGGAUACCACCCUUGAUGUAUCGGAAUUCUAACCGUAGGAGUAACGAAACUCGGGACAGUGUCAGGCGGGCAGUUUGACUGGGGCGGUCGCCUCCCAAAGAGUAACGGAGGCGCCCAAAGGUUCCCUCAGCGCGGCCGGAAAUCGCGCGAAGAGUGUAAAGGCAGAAGGGAGCUUGACUGAGAGCCAAACACGGCAAUCAGGUACGAAAGUAGGGCUUAGUGAUCCGGUGGCAUCCAAGUGGAAGGGCCAUCGCUCAACGGAUAAAAGCUACCCUGGGGAUAACAGGCUAAUCUCUCCCAAGAGUCCAUAUCGACGGGGAGGUUUGGCACCUCGAUGUCGGCUCAUCACAUCCUGGGGCUGAAGUCGGUCCCAAGGGUUGGGCUGUUCGCCCAUUAAAGUGGUACGUGAGCUGGGUUCAGAACGUCGUGAGACAGUUCGGUCCCUAUCCAUCGCGGGCGCAAGAGAUUUGAAGGGGGCUGCUCCUAGUACGAGAGGACCGGAGUGGACGAACCAAUGGUGUACCAAUUAUCUCGCCAGAGGUAUAGUUGGGUAGCUACGUUCGGAAAGGAUAAACGCUGAAAGCAUCUAAGCGUGAAACCAGCCUUAAGAUGAGAUCUCUCAUAGAGCAAUCUAGUAAGACACCUUGGAGAAGACGAGGUUGAUAGGUCGGGAGUGUAAGUACAGUAAUGUAUUCAGCGGACCGAUACUAAUAUGUCGAGGGCUUGACUUG
rnacentral:rRNA from 1 species